CUUAAUUUUACAGCAGGAGGGAUGGCAGUUAGACCUCAAGAGGAACUCCCUGGGCUGGAAGGAUCUUCAGAGGGUCCCCAGCCCCACCCCAGCCCCAAAGGAGGCUGUUCGAGAGGGACGUCCUCCGGAGCCAACCCCAGCCAAACGGAAGAGGCGCUCUAGCAGUUCCAGUUCCAGCUCCUCCUCUUCAUCUUCCUCUUCCUCUUCCUCCUCCUCUUCUUCCUCCUCCUCUUCCUCUUCUUCCUCUUCCUCCUCAUCUUCCUCCUCCUCCUCGUCUUCCUCCCCUUCCCCUGCUAAGCCUGGCCCUCAGGCCUUGCCCAAACCUGCAAGCCCCAAGAAGCCACCCCCUGGCGAGCGGAGGUGAGUGCUGCCUUGCCUGAGAUGGAAGGAGGGUGGGGGAGUGACUUGUCCAGAGAAGGGGCCCUGGGGUGUGAGCUCCCCGCUGGGUGUCUCACGUGGCCUUGGGCAUCUGGUUGUGGGGGAGGAGGCACUUGCUCU
rnacentral:sRNA from 1 species